AUUGAACGCUGGCGGCAUGCCUUACACAUGCAAGUCGAACGGCAGCGGACCUUCGGGUGCCGGCGAGUGGCGAACGGGUGAGUAAUGCAUCGGAACGUACCUUUCAGUGGGGGAUAACGUAGCGAAAGUUACGCUAAUAACGCAUAUUCUGUGAGCAGGAAAGCAGGGGAUCGCAAGACCUUGCGCUGAUUGAGCGGCCGAGGGCAGAUUAGCUAGUUGGUGAGGUAAAGGCUUACCGAGGUGACGAUAUGUAGCGGGUCUGAGAGGAUGAUCAGACAAACUGGAACUGAGACACGGUCCAGACUCCUACGGGAGGCAGCAGUGGGGAAUUUUGGACAAUGGGGGAAACCCUGAUCCAGCCAUGCCGCGUGAGUGAAAAAGGCCUUCGGGUUGUAAAGCUCUUUCGGCCGGGAAGAAAUCGCACGGGCUAAUACCCUGUGUGGAUGACGGUACCGGAAUAAGAAGCACCGGCUAACUACGUGCCAGCCGCCGCCGUAAGAC
rnacentral:rRNA from 1 species